CCCUAUCAGGAAAUAUCUUUGGAUUGACAUGAGACUUGGUUUGAUUAUUCUCAGGAGAAGAGGCCAGUCUGCGGUUACAUUGUGCUCUGUAUCAGUGCCCGUGAAACCUCUGGAAGGAAAUGAAAGAUAUAUUUUUCAAGAACAUGGAAAGAAGAAGAUAGCUGUCACUGAUUAA
rnacentral:lncRNA from 1 species